CCACCGGGCCAGCCCCUAAACAGAUUUCUAAUUGGUAGAAUUUUAGGAAAAGUUGGCAAGACAUUGGGGGUGGGAAUGAGUGAGUUCAACCUGGACUUGUCCCUUAAAUUUUAUCAUCCAAUUAAUUCUUAAAGGGAGGUCUGUUCUGGGAAGAUAGAUGAAGGACCAGUUCCCUUCCUUCAACAGGGAAACUUCUGUGAAGACAUUUUGAAGGCCCCUGGACAAAUGGUUUGCAGGGAAAUGACACAUCCAUGAAAGCCACAGGAUAAAAGGAGGUAGCCUUUUCCUCAGACCCUUCCCCUGAAUGGAGGAAGAGCCACAGUGAGGAAGGUUAGAUGCUACUACACUGACCUUGACUUUGCAGUUUCAGUUUUAUUGCUCCAGUGAGAGGGGAAUAUGUGAAUGCUGCAGAAAGAUGGAGUUCACAUGGCCCCCUGGACCUCACCUCAUUGCUGCUUCCUCUUGCUGAAGGACUUGAAAUUUCUUGCAGCCAAGAUCAGCUGCUUUCUUGGGAAAGCACACAAAAUCUUAGGACUACAUUUUGAAUAAAAUGUUCCCUCUGUCAACCUGUUUUUAACUAAGCUCCUUAAAAUAACAUUAAGUUGAUUUCAAUCUUCAGCUUUUUAAUUAAAGUUUUUUAACUAAAAUGAAA